GGAAUAUUGGGCAAUGGAGGAAACUCUGACCCAGCCAUGCCGCGUGCAGGAUGAAGGCCUUCUGGGUUGUAAACUGCUUUUAUCUAGGAAGAAAAUACUCUUGCGAGAGGAACUGACGGUACUAGAUGAAUAAGCACCGGCUAACUCCGUGCCAGCAGCCGCGGUAAUACGGAGGGUGCAAGCGUUGUCCGGAUUUAUUGGGUUUAAAGGGUGCGUAGGCGGCUUAGUAAGUCCGUGGUGAAAGCCAACAGCUCAACUGUUGAACUGCCAUGGAUACUGCUAGGCUUGAGUACAGACGAGGUAGGCGGAAUGGAUAGUGUAGCGGUGAAAUGCAUAGAUACUAUCCAGAACACCGAUUGCGUAGGCAGCUUACUAGGCUGUAACUGACGCUGAGGCACGAAAGCGUGGGGAGCGAAC
rnacentral:rRNA from 1 species